AUACUAAUCAAGGGUGACGUUUAUAACGCUCCUUAAUGACCGGAUAGCAUGAAGUAUACAAUUUACUCUCAAGAACCAGUAAAAGAAUAAUGUAUUUUUUCCUUCUGUCCUUAUAGCUCUGGAUCACCCUAGGUAUGGUUCAAUUGUCAAAUCCCAAUAGGCGAUCAACUAUGUGUUCACGUCAAAUAUAAUCGACCAUUGAAUGACCUAAGAAACUCAUUUCUUCUUUCAUUCAAUUGCCCUGGCCAAGGUCUUAGUUUGGUCGUUUAUAAUUCAUGACAACAUGGAGCUUAAAAUUAUUACCAAGAGUUGACAGAUUUUGUCUUGAUCAAUCACUAAUUCUACAAG
rnacentral:lncRNA from 1 species